UGGAGGGUGUGCGGAUAGAUGGGGACAAUAACGCACUGUGAGCUUGACUUUGAUCGGUUUCCAGGCACCUGACGUAGCGCAAGGAAAGCAGGGAGACAGCAGAGAAAACUGUAUGCACUCUGUGGAACACGGCUUACUUUGAAGACACCCCAACAUGCUGUGACUUUCUGAAUGAUAAGUGUUUAGUGUGUCUGUCUGUUUGUGCUCCAGUGGUCAUGGCUACAUGUGAAGAUGCUGCAGACAUCUAUUGAAGAUUGUGUUUUCAGUACACAGAAUGCAAGGUCUGCCAUAGACUGCCCACACACUCACAGCCAAUGGCUCGCUCCAGGGAAAGCACUUGUGCCUGCGCAGCAGUGACCCCCUCCAAAGCACAAGCGCUGUUUUGACGGCACCCGUGAGGAGUCAUUGGUGAGCAAGUGAUGAAAUGCUAAAUUUCUCCAAUUUUGUUUCGAUGAACACACAAACGAACCAAAGGGUGAGCGAAUCUUUUCAAAUUUUUAUUUUGGGUGAACUAUUCCUUUAAGCAAACCUAAAAUACAUUACUUGCACUAUCUUUGGUUAUUUUUCAGCAUCAUUUACUGGAUCUAACAAUUACUUCUCAUAGUGGAGUCCCACAUACAAUGAGUUGCUGUUGUUAUCUGUGAAGCCUUCAGUUGUGUGCCUUUUGUUUUUGGAGCCAUAAUAAAGUGCUUGAGGUCCA